rnacentral:rRNA from 1 species
GAUGAACGCUGGCGGCGUGCUUAACACAUGCAAGUCGAACGGGAAUUAUUUUAUUGCAACUUCGGUCGAUUUAAUUUAAUUCUAGUGGCGGACGGGUGAGUAACGCGUGGGUAACCUGCCUUAUACAGGGGGAUAACAGUCAGAAAUGGCUGCUAAUACCGCAUAAGCGCACAGAGCUGCAUGGCUCAGUGUGAAAAACUCCGGUGGUAUAAGAUGGAUCCGCGUUGGAUUAGCUUGUUGGCAGGGUAACGGCCUACCAAGGCGACGAUCCAUAGCCGGCCUGAGAGGGUGAACGGCCACAUUGGGACUGAGACACGGCCCAGACUCCUACGGGAGGCAGCAGUGGGGAAUAUUGCACAAUGGGGGAAACCCUGAUGCAGCGACGCCGCGUGAAGGAAGAAGUAUCUCGGUAUGUAAACUUCUAUCAGCAGGGAAGAUAGUGACGGUACCUGACUAAGAAGCCCCGGCUAACUACGUG